AGUAAAGUGCCUGACAAAAAGGGCCACUAUGAUAGAGUGAAAAAUGUGAUCUCAAAAUCGCCUUUACUA
rnacentral:tRNA from 1 species